ensembl:snoRNA U3 Small nucleolar RNA U3
AAGACUAUACUUUCGGGGAUCAUUUCUAUAGUUCAUUACUAGAGAAGUUUCUUUGACUGUGUAGAGUACCAGAAACCACGAAGAGGAGACAUAGCAUUCUCUCCUGAGUGUGAAGCCGGCUCUUGGUGUUGCUUCACUGCAACUGCCUCUUGCCGUUGAUGAUUGUUCUUCUCUCUUUCAGGAGAGUAGAGGGAGAGGAUGCAGUGUGAGUGCC